rnacentral:siRNA from 1 species
CACCACCUGACCACACUCGGCCGU